GCACUAUCUGAAAUAGUCACUCACUCUGGAUAAACAGGUGGGAGAAUAGGAGUCACAGGGCCAAAGAAGGGCUUGUGGACCUGGCCCCAGCUGACUGCAGGAAGCAAGGUCUGGAGGGACAGAGAGCCCAGUUUAUGGCUAGCUGCCAUCACCUGGAGACACCCCACUCUAGCAGUCUCUGGCAUCGCUGGAGACUGUUAACAUGGCUAAUCAGAUGUUAAUUGAAUGCGCAGGAAAAGGAAAUAAAUUCUGCUGCUGAAAGGCAGCUGGAAAGGG